CGGAACUAAACUCGUGGUUCCUGUGGUUCACACCUGACCUCCUGACAAGAAAAGAAAAAGAAUGGCGGCCGCUUCAGGGAUCCCCGGGGAAACCUGGAGCGAACUAGCAAAAAAGGACGGUGGGGAGUGCCCAGCGGCCGACAGGAGUAAUUCCCGCCGAAACAGGGUUUUCACCCUUCCUUUCUUCGGGUGUCCUUCCUCGCGCCCGCAGGUCCACCCCUCGCCCCCUUUGCGCUGUCGCUUCAGCUAUUACCCGGUGGAAACAACUGAAGACCGCUUUUUCUCUAUCUAACUUGUUCCGGGGCGAGGGUGUUUAGCCCUUGGAACCGCAGUUGGUUCCU
rnacentral:misc_RNA from 1 species